rnacentral:rRNA from 1 species
UGACGGUACCUGACUAAGAAGCCCCGGCUAACUACGUGCCAGCAGCCGCGGUAAUACGUAGGGGGCAAGCGUUAUCCGGAUUUACUGGGUGUAAAGGGAGCGUAGACGGUCUGGCAAGUCUGAUGUGAAAGGCAGGGGCUCAACUCCUGGACUGCAUUGGAAACUGUCAGUCUUGAGUGCCGGAGAGGUAAGCGGAAUUCCUAGUGUAGCGGUGAAAUGCGUAGAUAUUAGGAAGAACACCAGUGGCGAAGGCGGUUAGCUGGACAAUAACUGACGCUGAGGCGCGAAAGCGUGGGUAGCAAACAGGAUUAGAUACCCUG